CCACUUACACCUGAGUGAGGAUGGGAAGAAGAGAAGACAAGGACGAAUGUAGGAAACUGUCAGUUAAAUGACAAUGUAUGGAUGGCAAGAGAGAAAGAAUAGUCAGUGAUGGAAAAAUAAUCAAUAACAGCUUUGGGCUUUUGAGUUUGAAAAUGGUGUGUAGGGUGAGACAACAAUAGGAAACUUCUAAUAAAGAAUGAACAAGUACUUCUACUUGUUCAAUGAAUGUGAAUCUGGUACAUACAUUUGAUCCUUAAAAUAUUCUCACUAAACUGGUAUCAUUUAAUGGAACUGUUUAAUGUUAUCCUGGGCAAGUUACUUACUCAAUUUGCCUUAGCAUCUCAUCUGCAAAAUGUGGAUGAGUACCUACCCCCCAGGGUUAUGUCAAAAAUUAGAUAAGAUGAAAAGUAAGUUAUAGUAUUAGAAUGGCACCCAAUACAUAGUUUGGAAUUUUUUAAAAUGUCAGCUAUUAUGAUGAUAACAAUGGUGGCUUACAAGACCUUUGACCAUCUGGCUUCCCUCUCCAAGCAUGCCAAAUUAAUCACACUUCUUAAACACAUCUCUUGACCGGGGUGUUCUCACCAUGCCCUUUCUACAAACAAAAAAUUCUUCUCCACAAUGGAUUAACCACAGACAUUUGAAGUCAUACUGUUUAAAUAUCUUUGAAUUAUUUUUGUUUAAAAAUGUCAAUGGGUACGAUAGGAAAAGUACAUUUUUUUCCCUGUAACUUCAAAACAACUGAACAGAACCUUUGGACUUAAACCAAGAAUUGAAUGUUUUAGCUUUAAGAAGAUUUUCUUCUCUGAAAAGUAAUGAAUGAGUCUCUUUGCAAGUUUAACUAUUUCAAGUAUCAACUCUCUGACUUUCAGCAUUCUUUGGUAUUAAAAAAAUGUUUCAUGUAUAAAUAAACGUCCUACAAGAGUUGGAGCCAUCCUCUCCUCAUCUUCUACUUUCUGCCUUCUUCUGGGACACGCUAUUGAUCACGAAGUAUCUUAUCCUUGAAAAAUCUCCUCUCUUCAACUCGAGUACUACUGCAGAAAGCAGCAACUUGGCGGCCUUUUAUGGAUGGGUGUUACUGAAGUUAGGACAAAUCUAUAAUAAGUUCAUUUCCUCUAAGAUGUCUACCCAGAAGGACAAUACUUAAUUGGGCACAUAUACUCUAUUGGAUCUAUAUGCUCAUGACUUUAUAAGUAGGCAUUCUGCAUGUAUGUGCAAAACAAAAUAGAACUUAGGAGGAUAAAGCAUCCUGUAAAAUGUGGGACUUAAGACUGUAUCAGGGAAAGGAGAAGAAAAGAAAAAUAUAAAAUCUGAUUUUUAAAAUUAUGACUACUGGAGUGUGCAGAGGUUUUCAAAUGACUUGUUGGUGAAUUGUAAACCUAUAAAAUGUGUGAAGCCAUUUUAUAAAGAAAAGCAAUGUUUAUAAUUUUUUACCCAUAUAAUGAUUUAAAAAUAGAAGAGAUCACCACCUACCCUGAUUCUUUAAACAAGCAUUUGCUUGCUUCAGUGAUUGUGGGUUAGCUAGAUGAUCUUGGAGUUCUUUCUGUGAUUUAGUCAGUGAUAUUGAACAGGCUCUACAGCAAGGAAAGAAGGGGAACUGUAUAAAGUAAAUAAACUUAACAAAGCAGAAGAUACAUGUACCCAGAGAGUUCAACAAUUUAGAAUAUUUGCCUGAUUUUUUUAAAGUCCAAAAGUAAUCUGUAUUGAUUAUAACAGGAAGCUACUUUUCCAAGUUAGAAAAUGUACGUGUGUGGUCAAAGCCGUCUUUAAAACAAAUGCAUUGAAAAAUUUAAAAGGUCCUUUGUGUAAAUCACAAGUCCCUAUAUUGUAUCUUCAUUAAGUCUCUGAAAAUAUUUUAGUCAAUUUAUACAGUCCUUUAAAGAAGGUAGUAUGUGCAAAAAUAUGCACUGAUACCUAACUACAAAAUUAUUUUGCACAUCACAAAUUGUAUACAUGAUUGUCAUGGAUGAAACAUGCUAACAAUCUUUAUUUUAUUUAUUUUUAUUAGUUAUUAAUUUAUUAACAAUUUUUAAUUUGUUUGUUUUUAUUAUUUUAUGCCUUCAUUCAUGAAGAUAACAUACAUUAGUAACCAGUUUUUCAUUUGGCUAGGCUGUUCAAGAAAAUACCCUGUUCUCCGUUUUCUAAAUGCUAUGAAAGUCACAAAGUAAUUAAUUAAAAGACCUCAGUAUCAUGACAACACCAUCAUCCUUCUGGUCAACACAUUUCAGUGAUGCAGAGUGUAUUGUGACAGCCUGCAGAUGACACAAAACAAUCUACAUUAUCAUCAAAUUUCAUGUCUAUACUAAUAAUAAUUUUUCACUGAAUGUAGCAACACCUUUUCUGGCUGGGGUUGGGCUGAGGACAGAAGUGCUGUUGAGAGAGAAAAAAAGGGAGAAAAAAGAAUGCAAGCUGGCAACUAGUUAAUGAAAAUCAUAAUGAUAUCAGUCUUUUUGCACUGGAAAUAUGCACUCCAUCGUGCUCAAAUGGUGGGGAGUGCAGAUCUCUGAUAAGACUAGGGGACUGUGGUCGGGGUUAGGUCGAAGGCAUAAAAUGCCUUCGCACACAUGAAUGCUUACCAUGUGUGACCAAGUGGGAGGAAACUGUGGUGAGACAGGGAAGGAGAGAAAUAACUCACUUAGUGUCUGGCAUGAUGAUGUUGAAUCUCUUCAGUAAUGAUUUCUGUGUUGUGUGUGGGUUAUGGGAGUUUGAUGUUGCUUUAUGCCUGAUGCAAAGAAAUGCCUUUUGGCUCAGAUUAGGUUGUGAUCACUUCAGUUUGGCACCUAGUUACCAGUGUCAGCAUUUACAGUUCAUUCCCAGCCAUGGGUGCAGUAAGUCUCUGAGAUCUCAAAAGCUGUAGGAUGCAACCCACAUUGCCUUCUGGCCUUCGAGGACCAUGCCAAAUUCCUUAAAGCAAUGACAGCUAAGGGUCAUAAGGCGGCACUGAUUCUACCUAUGACCCAGUUUAUUACACUAUGUCAGUAGCAGCUCUUGCAAAUUAAUUUUGCUCAUUACAGCAGAAAAUGAAUCAGGAAGACAGAAUAGGACAAAAUGCUUCCACCAAAAUUUUAUAAGGUAUUUAAAUCAGAGGAAGGGAAAAAUCCCUGGCUUUUUCCCAGACACGAAAGAGAAAGAAAGGAGGCAGCUGAGGUAGAAAUUCUCAUACAUUAUGCAGAUUAUUAUGAUUAAAACCUCCUAAGUAAACUGUGCUGCUGAAUAUCCUUUAGAUUUUGUUUUUGCAAAAUCCCCAAUGCUUUGGAAAUAUGAAAAUUCCAACUACUAGCCUAUGAAACCCUAGAGAACCUGCAGACCAGAAAAGGAAACCUGGCAUAAUAAGAAUAAACAAUGAUUCUGCUUAAGUUGGAUGUGAAUUGUCAAAAGAAAAGUCCAAGGCAGACAAAUUUCAGUCUCUCCAGACCCUUUUCAAACCUUUUCUUCUGACAGCCCCAUAGAGAUUUCUGAGGUCUUUCUUGAGCAGGUCUGGCAGCUGAGCCCUCUUCGUCAGGAGUUCUCAAUGGCCCCCAAGGUGCCUUUGUUUCCUCAAGGGGUUUUCAUAGCAUCCUCAGCUGUGGAAGGCAAUGUAUCGCAUCCUGUAUUACCUUCCCCUGACCUCAUAGCUUCCCAAAACAGGAACAAUCAUGGGCUUUGAAGAAUGAAGAUGUGGAGACCUGGAGACAGGUGGCACCUCGUGCUUCCUCCGAAGGGAGAGCCCAUUUCCUAACAGCUGGAUCAAAGGCAUGAAAUGAACAUGGAGUCCCUGAAGAUGAAGAGAAGGCAUGGCUUCCAGGGAGAAAUUGUACAUUACAGGAAUGCAGAUGUGAUUCCUAUGGAUGAGGGUAACCUAGAGGCUAGAAGAACAAUAGGACAGAAGAAGCCUGGGUCCCUGAACAACCUUGUGGAGCAUAGACACCUACGUGGCCUGGACUGCCAGCUCACAAUGGGCCUCUCUGUGAGAGAAGGAAACUUCCCUCUUGUUUAAGCAACUGUGCUUUUGAGAAUCUCUUGGUCUAUACCCUAAUGAAUAAGGCCAUCAUAAAUGGAUAUCAAAGUAAGGAAAUUUGUGUAAAUGAUUUAAUAAAACAUUACCUCAGGUAUGAAAUAA
rnacentral:lncRNA from 1 species